rnacentral:rRNA from 1 species
UACGUAGGGGGCAAGCGUUGUCCGGAAUCAUUGGGCGUAAAGCGCGUGUAGGCGGUCCGGUAAGUCCGCUGUGAAAGUCGGGGGCUCAACCCUCGGAUGCCGGUGGAUACUGUCGGGCUUGAGUACGGAAGAGGCGAGUGGAAUUCCUGGUGUAGCGGUGAAAUGCGCAGAUAUCGGGAGGAACACCGGUGGCGAAGGCGGUUCUCUGGGCCUUACCUGACGCUGAGGAGCGAAAGCGUGGGGAGCAAACAGG